GCCAGGACUGGUAGUCUGCACCUGUAGUUCUAGCUACUGGGGAGGCUGAGGAGAAAGGAUCGCUUGAUCCCAGGAGUUCUGGGCUGUAGUGAGUGCACUGUGCCAAUAGAUGGGAUGUGCGCGCUUAAGUUCAGGAGGGAGGGACCCCCCAGGUUACCUAAGGAGGGAUGCACUGGCCCAGAUCGGAAACAGAGCUUGUCAAAACUCCGGUGCUGAUCAGCAAUGGGAUCAUGCCUGUGAACAGCCACUGCGCUCCAGCCUAGGCAACAUAGGGAGACCCUGUCUCU
rnacentral:SRP_RNA from 1 species